GAUGAAGAACGUAGCGAAAUGCGAUAAGUAAUGUGAAUUGCAGAAUUCAGUGAAUCAUCGAAUCUUUGAACGCACAUUGCGCCCCCUGGUAUUCCGGGGGGCAUGCCUGUUCGAGCGUCAUUUCACCACUCAAGCCUCGCUUGGUAUUGGGCAUCGCGGUCCGCCGCGCGCCUCAAAUCGACCGGCUGGGUCUUCUGUCCCCUAAGCGUUGUGGAAACUAUUCGCUAAAGGGUGUUCGGGAGGCUACGCCGUAAAACAACCCCAUUUCUAAGGUUGACCUCGGAUCAGGUAGGGAUACCCGCUGAACUUAAGCAUAUCAUAAGCGGAGGA
rnacentral:misc_RNA from 1 species